rnacentral:rRNA from 1 species
UUAAGCGACUAAGCGUACACGGUGGAUGCCCUGGCAGUCAGAGGCGAUGAAGGACGUGCUAAUCUGCGAUAAGCGUCGGUGAGGUGAUAUGAACCGUUAUAACCGGCGAUUUCCGAAUGGGGAAACCCAGUGUGAUUCGUCACACUAUCAUUAACUGAAUCCAUAGGUUAAUGAGGCGAACCGGGGGAACUGAAACAUCUAAGUACCCCGAGGAAAAGAAAUCAACCGAGAUUCCCCCAGUAGCAGCGAGCGAACGGGGAGGAGCCCAGAGCCUGAAUCAGUGUGUGUGUUAGUGGAAGCGUCUGGAAAGGCGUGCGAUACAGGGUGACAGCCCCGUACACAAAAAUGCACAUAUUGUGAGCUCGAUGAGUAGGGCGGGACACGUGGUAUCCUGUCUGAAUAUGGGGGGACCAUCCUCCAAGGCUAAAUACUCCUGACUGACCGAUAGUGAACCAGUACCGUGAGGGAAAGGCGAAAAGAACCCCGGCGAGGGGAGUGAAAAAGAACCUGAAACCGUGUACGUACAAGCAGUGGGAGCCUCUUAAUGGGGUGACUGCGUACCUUUUGUAUAAUGGGUCAGCGACUUAUAUUCUGUAGCAAGGUUAACCGAAUAGGGGAGCCGAAGGGAAACCGAGUCUUAACUGGGCGUUAAGUUGCAGGGUAUAGACCCGAAACCCGGUGAUCUAGCCAUGGGCAGGUUGAAGGUUGGGUAACACUAACUGGAGGACCGAACCGACUAAUGUUGAAAAAUUAGCGGAUGACUUGUGGCUGGGGGUGAAAGGCCAAUCAAACCGGGAGAUAGCUGGUUCUCCCCGAAAGCUAUUUAGGUAGCGCCUCGUGAAUUCAUCUCCGGGGGUAGAGCACUGUUUCGGCAAGGGGGUCAUCCCGACUUACCAACCCGAUGCAAAACUGCGAAUACCGGAGAAUGUUAUCACGGGAGACACACGGCGGGUGCUAACGUCCGUCGUGAAGAGGGAAACAACCCAGACCGCCAGCUAAGGUCCCAAAGUCAUGGUUAAGUGGGAAACGAUGUGGGAAGGCCCAGACAGCCAGGAUGUUGGCUUAGAAGCAGCCAUCAUUUAAAGAAAGCGUAAUAGCUCACUGGUCGAGUCGGCCUGCGCGGAAGAUGUAACGGGGCUAAACCAUGCACCGAAGCUGCGGCAGCGACACUAUGUGUUGUUGGGUAGGGGAGCGUUCUGUAAGCCUGUGAAGGUGGCCUGUGAGGGUUGCUGGAGGUAUCAGAAGUGCGAAUGCUGACAUAAGUAACGAUAAAGCGGGUGAAAAGCCCGCUCGCCGGAAGACCAAGGGUUCCUGUCCAACGUUAAUCGGGGCAGGGUGAGUCGACCCCUAAGGCGAGGCCGAAAGGCGUAGUCGAUGGGAAACAGGUUAAUAUUCCUGUACUUGGUGUUACUGCGAAGGGGGGACGGAGAAGGCUAUGUUGGCCGGGCGACGGUUGUCCCGGUUUAAGCGUGUAGGCUGGUUUUCCAGGCAAAUCCGGAAAACCAAGGCUGAGGCGUGAUGACGAGGCACUACGGUGCUGAAGUGACAAAUGCCCUGCUUCCAGGAAAAGCCUCUAAGCAUCAGGUAACAUCAAAUCGUACCCCAAACCGACACAGGUGGUCAGGUAGAGAAUACCAAGGCGCUUGAGAGAACUCGGGUGAAGGAACUAGGCAAAAUGGUGCCGUAACUUCGGGAGAAGGCACGCUGAUAUGUAGGUGAAGCGACUUGCUCGUGGAGCUGAAAUCAGUCGAAGAUACCAGCUGGCUGCAACUGUUUAUUAAAAACACAGCACUGUGCAAACACGAAAGUGGACGUAUACGGUGUGACGCCUGCCCGGUGCCGGAAGGUUAAUUGAUGGGGUUAGCGGCAACGCGAAGCUCUUGAUCGAAGCCCCGGUAAACGGCGGCCGUAACUAUAACGGUCCUAAGGUAGCGAAAUUCCUUGUCGGGUAAGUUCCGACCUGCACGAAUGGCGUAAUGAUGGCCAGGCUGUCUCCACCCGAGACUCAGUGAAAUUGAACUCGCUGUGAAGAUGCAGUGUACCCGCGGCAAGACGGAAAGACCCCGUGAACCUUUACUAUAGCUUGACACUGAACAUUGAGCCUUGAUGUGUAGGAUAGGUGGGAGGCUUUGAAGUGUGGACGCCAGUCUGCAUGGAGCCGACCUUGAAAUACCACCCUUUAAUGUUUGAUGUUCUAACGUUGGCCCGUAAUCCGGGUUGCGGACAGUGUCUGGUGGGUAGUUUGACUGGGGCGGUCUCCUCCUAAAGAGUAACGGAGGAGCACGAAGGUUGGCUAAUCCUGGUCGGACAUCAGGAGGUUAGUGCAAUGGCAUAAGCCAGCUUGACUGCGAGCGUGACGGCGCGAGCAGGUGCGAAAGCAGGUCAUAGUGAUCCGGUGGUUCUGAAUGGAAGGGCCAUCGCUCAACGGAUAAAAGGUACUCCGGGGAUAACAGGCUGAUACCGCCCAAGAGUUCAUAUCGACGGCGGUGUUUGGCACCUCGAUGUCGGCUCAUCACAUCCUGGGGCUGAAGUAGGUCCCAAGGGUAUGGCUGUUCGCCAUUUAAAGUGGUACGCGAGCUGGGUUUAGAACGUCGUGAGACAGUUCGGUCCCUAUCUGCCGUGGGCGCUGGAGAACUGAGGGGGGCUGCUCCUAGUACGAGAGGACCGGAGUGGACGCAUCACUGGUGUUCGGGUUGUCAUGCCAAUGGCACUGCCCGGUAGCUAAAUGCGGAAGAGAUAAGUGCUGAAAGCAUCUAAGCACGAAACUUGCCCCGAGAUGAGUUCUCCCUGACCCUUUAAGGGUCCUGAAGGAACGUUGAAGACGACGACGUUGAUAGGCCGGGUGUGUAAGCGCAGCGAUGCGUUGAGCUAACCGGUACUAAUGAACCGUGAGGCUUAACCUU